AUGAAUCAGUUAAGUUGUAGUUCAUGAUGUUAUGCCUCAUCCAUGUGUUGUUGGAGGUUUAUCGAGAUAUGGCUUCCAAUCUUUGCCAUUUCUGGCUUGGAAAACAGAGUGUUUUGCUGAGUAAAAGCUUAAAGAUAGCAAGUGGACAACUUGAGAAAUAGAAUGAGUUUUUGAGUCCAAUUAAGCAGUCUUUAUCCAUAAAAGUCAAUUUUUUCGAUUUUGCACUUUGUAUGGCACGGCCUUCAGAAUUCUUUUGGCAAUGGAGGUUGGUGAUGAGCUUCUGGCUGGGAAGUUUUUCACAGUAGCGAUCAAUCUGUUUUGUUGUGAGUUGCAUUCUGUGAGAUUUUGUUUGCUGAGUGCUGUUCGCAGUUGAAUUUAUAUCCUCUUAGCAGCAACACCAAACUCAAAACUUUGCUUUGGAGGAGGGGGAGGAUAUGCUGUUGCACGGCCAGCAAAGUUGCGCUGGCCGAUGCUGGUAGUGCAUGUCCUACUUCCCUUGCUGGGGACCCAUGAGCAGGGGUUUGGGCCCGGUGGUGGAAUAGAACGAUGCUGCAACAGCGGCUGUAGGAGGUAUUGGCCCCUCCUCAGCCAUUGCUCUUCUUCUUCGUUAAGAACUCGAGUGGCUUCAUAUGGUUUAAUGUAGGCGACAGUUUGAAGGAAUUGCUCGGAGAAACAUCUUGACGAAGAGGUGUACCAGAUGAUGCAUUGGAGGACGAUGAGGCUGUCAGAUCAACAGCAUUUUGCAACUGGAUGCUAUGCCGAUCGGAUUUAUUCGAUGAUAAGAAAUUGGUCAUACAAGAAAACCAGAAUGUGCCUUUAGUGAUUGGUAAACCAAAUACUCAUUGUAGCUCGGUUUCAGUAAAUAGUUUUCAGGAACCCAAAAUUUCGGUAACAGCUUACUCAAAUUGUCUGAUUG